CGGGCACUGCCCGGUACGAGCCUUACCGAACAUCCCUGAGGCGAUUAUUCUUCCUAGGGGGUUGUCCCUGUUCUGGCCCUGGCCAGAUGCAUAUGAUCCCCACCUGAUGCUAACGGCGUCAGAGGAUAUUCAGGCAAACGGCCACGGCGGUCCCGCC
rfam:Sphingomonas panacis strain DCY99, complete genome.